UUGGUCACCGAAUCCGUUGUCAUUUCCGCGCGCACACUCGUACUGUACAACUUUGUGGAUUUCUUAAUCUUUUUUCAGCAUGGGCCCAAUAAAUUGAUGGCCAGCGGCAGUGAGGAGAAGAGAGAGUUGUUUUGUCCAUCAAAACAAAACAAGAAGUUGUCGAGAAACUUGAAAGAGAUCGUUGCGUGUGGCAUUCAUGCUACUGCUGGUCGACUUGAGAGGUUUGAGUGGAGGUUGAACCUGAAGUUGAGGAAACUGUUUCCCUGGGAAAGACUGAUGAUUUCUAAUUUUAGUGGAAUUAAGUUUGUGCAUACCUCCUACUCUCAUUCCCCCCAACGUUGCCUCCUCACGCAUGCACUCUUCUCUUCAUAUCGUUGCUCAACGCCAAAGUAUAUCCACAGAUGUGCAUGUAAAAGCUGCAUACCCAUGGAAACAACAGAAGAAAGUUUUUGUUGACAUGAGAGUCAACAUAUUCACCAGAAAAUGGCAGAUUAUCCAGACCAUCCGCUGCAGUGCAUGACAGAGCACCCAGGAUUCAUUACCAGCUGUCUGAACCCAUGAGUACUUGAGGUUUCCACGACACAAGUAACAGCUAUUUUAUUAUGCUUUCUCCUAAUCAGCCCAUUUUUUUCAUCAUUUAUAUUCAAAUUAUUUGAAAUUAAGAAUUAUUUACAUUAUAAUUGUUUUGUUAAAAGCAGCAUUUGUCUAUUCAAUGCUUGUUCAAACAUUUCCCAGGAAAAUUGUCAUAUGAGUAUAUUUUCAGGUUAUAGAGACAUAAUGCCUCCAGACAGCUUGUGAGAUUGUGUUGGAGAAUUGUAGCUAUAAAUAACCACGUGCCACUUCCAUAUUGCUACGAGUCAAAUAUUUGUGACACCCUUCAUAAUCCGGAUGGCCAAGAGUACAGGGGAUUUAAAUGGUCUAUAUUUUCGUGUUGCUUAAGUCCUUGCGUAAUUGUUGAUUUUUGUGUUUGUAUAUGAAAUAAACAUACACCACAGAACUAAAA